AUAUAUAGUCUUCAUCAUGCAGUCCAUCCCUGUAGCUGCAGGGAAGCAUUUUACGCAGUAGAGAUUAUGUAGAUAAUUAACUUAAUUUGAAUACGUGGAUGAAUAGUCAUUGGUGCGGUCUGCGUAUUGGCUUCCACCCAUCUCGUAUCCGAUCGCCAGAUCGUGAUGAUGCCGUGUGGAGGUUAGAAAAAAAUGUUUUUCCUGUAUUUUUACUUCCUUGUUUCAAGAGAAAACAAUAAGCACCCUGGACGACGGAUCCUCACCAGUCAAAUAUUCUAUGCAUGACGUGCUGAUUUAUGCGUCCACGCAGAGCGCGCCAAAAAAAAUAAUAAGCAAAGUUUGGUUGGUUCCAUCGUCUGUCAUCACGAGAAGCACAUGGUGAGCUGCCGAGUAACAGGUGCCGCCGUACACGCAGGAGAAGAUAGGGUUCACGCGGCGCCAUAAUUGUGACCAGAAAGAUUCUGAGUUUACAGGAGACUGGAAAAUCACCACAAACACGACAAUUUGCAAAUCCUUUCUCCAUUACAACAUUGAGCCCCCAGUUCGUCUGCAAAAUUCCGACAUGAUCUAUUGAUUACUUGUCACAGAUUUUGACUCUCUGGUUCCAGUAGAACCAAAGCUCAUCCGGUACAAACCUUGAAAUUCUGCAAGACAUAAAGCUGCGAAGUCAUCAUCCCGAGCCGCUGGAGAACUUCCAUCAAAGACAUCCUUGCCUUUUCUGCAACAGAAGCAGAUUAACCUAUGAGAUUUUUUAGGAUCAGGUAAAAACGAAAGUUGUCGUCAAGACCUAAUCAUCAAUGAGAUGGUCAUUAUCAUUGCUUCAAAUUAUAUUGGUUCUUUUGGUUUGACCACUUGACGGAACUGCACAGCUUUACCGAAGAGGCAGCAUCUGAAUCUCCUUUACCAUCACAGCCAGGAGUAAAGUUCAACUCUACUUCGACCCAAACUACAUGUAUUUCUGCCAGGACUGACUCCUGCUGAACUUUCAUUGACUUAUCAACAGUUGUACGCAUCCAUGCAGGAAUCUUCAGAAACUGUCCAGGUGUGUGAUGACAUAUAAAGUGGGACGGUAUAGUUUUGAGAAGAAUCUCCUCCGACCAAAUGAUGCUACCGAUCUCAAGCGACCCAGUCUUACUGCUGAAGUCGCCCGUCAAGAUGCAGUCGACUCGACUGGAUCACCAGCUUGCUGCUCCCAGCCUAUCAAUCGAUUUAAUUCAGACAUCACCCGAAGAGCUAUUUUUAUGAUUCUUCAUGGAAUAAACUCUGCAGUAUGAACUGAAAUGCUAACCAGUAGAUGCAUGCAUGUAUAUGUAGAAGUCGGUUUACUUAAAUCAAAUAGCGUUGUGGCCCAGUGGAUUAGUCUUCUGACUUUGAAACAGAGGGUCGUGGGUUCGAAUCCCAGCCAUGGUGUAAUUUCCUUCAGCAAGAAAUUUAUCAACACUGUGCUGCACUCAACCCAGGUGAGGUGAAUGGGUACCCGGUAGGAAGAAAUUAAUUUAAUGCUUUGAGCGCCUAGGCAGCCCAGCUAAAGCCGGGGUAAUAAUAUUAGCAGGGCCCGCUGGGUGAGCAGUUUUCAGAACUGAAGUGGCUUCCCUGGGUAAAUAAACCUUUAUCAUUAUUAUUAUUAAAUAAAACGAGAUUUAAAAAAAGAAUAUUUUUUAAUCCCAUCACAGAUGACGUUAAUGUAUACAUGAGCGGUCCUUGCAAGAUCCAAUUAUAAAAGUACCUAAAAACGAUUUCAUAAACAAAAAAUUAGGACGAAUUAUCUUGCAUUGGAACUUCACUUCUGUCUGCAUGAUUGCAAAAAAAAAUCAUAACCAUUAUUUCAAAAGUUACACCUAUGACGAUUUGCAAAUUAAGAAGCCCCUUCCCUCGUGUAUAAUUAUAGCGAAAAGACAAAGUGUAAAUAAAGUGUAACCGAUCGUAAACCAAGUGACUUACUUUUUAUGAUUCCUUUUUAUAUGCUAUACCUAACGAUUGUUGUAUUUUAUGGUUGGUUACAAACUAUAAUAACAUGAGCAUUAAUUUGUACGCGUUCAAGGUCGGUUUAAACAUGAGGUUACUCUGUUUGCGACGAAAUUGUUAUAUUUUUAUUUCAUGAUCACAUAGACCCACCUAAUAAACUCCAUGAUAAAUAUUUGAACUUUAUAGGUAUCAAGAUUAAAAAUAUGAAUUUUAGAAUAGGUUGUGAUUAUUAUGAAUAUCCAUAACGACCAUGGCUAUCGGAACUUUUGCUCAUAGAUUGCAUAAUUUUUACAAUUUAAUCAUCGAUUG